rnacentral:rRNA from 1 species
UACGAAGGGGGCUAGCGUUGCUCGGAAUCACUGGGCGUAAAGGGUGCGUAGGCGGGUCUUUAAGUCAGGGGUGAAAUCCUGGAGCUCAACUCCAGAACUGCCUUUGAUACUGAAGAUCUUGGGUCCGGGAGAGGUGAGUGGAACUGCGAGUGUAGAGGUGAAAUUCGUAGAUAUUCGCAAGAACGCCAGUGGCGAAGGCGGCUCACUGGCCCGGUACUGACGCUGAGGCACGAAAGCGUGGGGAGCAAACAGG